rnacentral:rRNA from 1 species
GCGGAGGAAAAGAAACCAACAGGGAUUGCCCUAGUAACGGCGAGUGAAGCGGCAACAGCUCAAAUUUGAAAGCUGGCCUUCGGGUCCGCAUUGUAAUUUGUAGAGGAUGCUUUGGGUGAAACGCCAGUCUAAGUUCCUUGGAACAGGACGUCAUAGAGGGUGAGAAUCCCGUAUGUGACUGGAAACGUUAACCUAUGUAAAGCUCCUUCGACGAGUCGAGUUGUUUGGGAAUGCAGCUCUAAAUGGGAGGUAAAUUUCUUCUAAAGCUAAAUAUUGGCGAGAGACCGAUAGCGCACAAGUAGAGUGAUCGAAAGAUGAAAAGCACUUUGGAAAGAGAGUUAAAAAGCACGUGAAAUUGUUGAAAGGGAAGCGCUUGCAAUCAGACUUGUUUAAACUGUUCGGCCGGUCUUCUGACCGGUUUACUCAGUUUGGACAGGCCAGCAUCAGUUUCGGCGGCCGGAUAAAGGCUCUGGGAAUGUGGCCUUCACUUCGGUGAAGGUGUUAUAGCCCAGGGUGUAAUACGGCCAGCCGGGACUGAGGUCCGCGCUUCGGCUAGGAUGCUGGCGUAAUGGUUGUAAGCGACCCGU